ACAGUGCCUCGAGGGGGGAGAAGUUAAGAGAGGAAAAAGCACUGCCUGGCAGUGAGAAGUGACGGGAAGAAGUGUGAGAAGCAGUGAUGUGAGCUCUAGAGGUCUCAGGAACAAAGAAUUGACCUUCGUUGACUUGAAGCCAAACCGCAGCAAUUAGCAGCUGAAAGCAGGAGGAGAGCUGGGGGCGGACAAGGGAGCCAGCAGUUCAGGUUGGUUAUUUCCUCGGUUAUCUGAAGCAGUUGUCUGCAGUGUUACGAGUGGCCUGUUCAUACUGACUCACUGCAGCAUCACUUGGCCUUUCCAGCUCCCUGGGAUGAAAGCUGCUUGCACGGAAGCAUCAAUGUCAAUGAACACUACUUGGAUGAGACAGCCUCCAGGGUGUUCGUGGUAAUGGCGCAUGUUCUGACUUCAAAAUGGAGGACCGAGUCAGCUAUAUAGCUAGCAAAAUUCCCACUGAUUGGAGUUGCUGCAGGUCGGAUCCCAAAGGCUCUAUGUGACACAUUCCUGAAACGAGCAGCAAUCCUGUUUUCCUCAUGCUGGCUGUGUGGCUACUCACCUGGCAGCCUUUAAUUUGCUACAGCUCAUCUUUUCUAGUUGGAUCUGCAUUCAUCUAGCACACCAAAGUUUUCUGUUCCACGUUGUUUCUGUAAGUGCAGCAAGCCAUAAUCUCAUGGAGUCAUACAUACUCUUUAAGGAACCCCCUACUUAUGCUGCUUCUGUGUUCAACUAGACUCAAGGGUCAGUAGUUUUUUUUUUGCAGCACUAUUUCUUUCUCAUCUCUUACUCUUGCUUCUUUGAACCAGGGCCAAUUUUUCAUUAAGGAGAACUCAGCAGUAGAAAGAACACGUGGCAGCAAAAGCAGAGUGUUUUCUUUCCAUUCCGUAUUGCCACACGAAUUUUUAUUUUGAAAUCUAAACGCAAUGUGUGGCUGUUUUUCAUCUCAAUGAAUUGGUAACUUGCUUCUCUGUAUGUUGUCACCAACAGUCUUGAACUGGGGAAAGGCAAUCUCUCCCAGUACCAGUCCUUUUUAGGCAAGGAUAACAGAAGCCUUAGAUGAAAGAUUGUUAUAUUCUUGUAUUCAGACAGUCUCUCAGGGUGAUUUUCUUUGGAGAAAAAAAAAUCAGUAAAAUUUGUACCUCCAGGAUCCUGACCAAACACUGCAGUUUAUUUCAUGCCUCUAAGUCAGAAGUACAUUAAUCAAAUACUUGCCACAGAAUUUCUAAGUACCUCUUCACUGACUGAUCUGGGCUGUUCCCUGAAUUGAUCACAUGUGUAGAUUAAAUGCAAGACUGAGCAACAGGACGUAAAUUGUCCUUGUGGACUUUUAUUCUUCCCUGUGUGAGGUUGGUGAAUAGCACAUUCUUAAUUGGGGACGUUUCAAGUAACCAAGUGCCUGAUCUGCAGUCAGAGGGACUGGGGAUUGGAGAAGCUCUACAUGUGUGGCCUGAUGAGCACAAGCAAUCCAACUCGGAAGCAAUGCUGCCCAUCUACUGAGGGUGGUUAUUUUCAGCUGAUGAGUGGUUAUGUCUUAAGAUGUGCUAACUUGAUCUCUUGUAAUCAUCUGUGCACAUUUUUACUCUCGUUGGAGGUACAGCGUUGAACAAUUAGUUAAGUCACAAAUCACUUAAAUAUCAGGGAAGGAAUUCUGCUUUCUGCUGCAGGCUUUUUCUUUUGGCUUCUCAGCCCACAGUGCUGUAGACAGAGAACAAGGUGCUCGUUUAGCACUUUCUUAGUGCAAAUGCAACUUCUAGCAUAAGGGGGGAACGUUUCAAAAAGUGGUCUAAAAUCAGACAAAAGGUAUCCAGAAGGAAUAGUGUUAUGGAGAUGCUAAGACACAGCUCACAGACAGAGACUGAAAAAUCUGAACAGGAUGAGUGGUGGUUUCCAAGCAUCUUUUGCUUUGCUUAGGCCUCCUGGAGAACCCCAUCCAAUAAGCAGAUGCUGCCAUGGGAACAGAAAGAAGGAGCCCUUUAAUAUUCAGUGCAUAGAAUAGAUUUGCUAUCAGUGUGCUCUCAGGAUGGUAGUGUUUCUGAGUUAAAAGAUGCAAGUGCAUGGCAUUGCACUUCCCAAUGAAAAGCAGACUUUCCAGAGAUUACAGAUAAAUACCUAGAUAUCCCAGAACAUAAUUUGAGCAAGUUUCAGACUACUGACCAGAAGAAAAUUCAACUCCUGAACACAAAGAUGUGUUUGUAGCUGUGAACACUAUCAGACAGGGUAUCUAGAUUAUGUCAGACAGGCAACUAAAUGUAAAUAAACCUGAAAAAUUAUUUUACAGUAUGAUUGUAGGUGGUAAAAAAUAACAGUCAUGAAGAAUUAUGGUACCAGCCAGGAUUACCUUUAUGUUCCUAAUCUGCUCUCAAGGCUUCUGUUUUGCCUUUGAAAUAAUAAUAAAAAAUGCUACUACCUUAAUACUUCUUACAUGUCAGCUCACACCCCCUUGGGUUAAUACAUUCUGCAGUCUUGUUGUUUACUUCUCAUUAAGCUAAAUGUUUUAUGCAAAUCAUCUGACAUAAAGCCAGACGACCAAUCUAGAAAGGCUGUAAUUCCAUCUGAUGAGUUCAUUCAACUGAAAUCUGUACUUAAUUUCCAUAAUUAUACUACCCUAUUCUCAUAAUGUGAACUGAUUGCUGCAAAAACACAAAAUAACUAAAAUGCAUUCAGAUUUAAAAUAUGAAAAUGAUACGUCCCUUUGGGCACAAGUGUUAUGUUUUACAAACAGUUUCUGUUUUCUUUUUUUUUUUUUCUUUCACAAAAUAUCUCUUUAUUUAAGGCUGUGUCAGCCUAAUUUAAGGACUAUUAAAUUGAUAAGAGCCAUUUGUAAUGCAGUUUUGUCUUGAUAGAGGAAAAAAUGGAAGAAAAGAAAUUUGAGGAAAAAACUACACCAGAGCACUAACAAUUAUAUUAAUGUGUCGUAGUCAGAACCCUGAAGAUUGGUAUCAUCCUUGUCACGCAGCUUAAACUUAGAGCAAACUGACUGCGUUGUUGCUGACAAGUCUAAGUAUCUUCUUAAUUAUGGAAUCGGCCAAAUUAAGUCACUGCGGUACCAAUCAAGCUGUAAAAGAGCUAGCAUAGAGGCUUUUCACAUGGCUUGAAGGAGAUGACAAAGGUCUGAUCUUCCUUUUGGGAAAAUCAUGCCUUUCAAACGUCUUGUUUGAUUGCCCAAGCCUAGAAUGGAAAUCUGUGUUGCUUGCUUUGAGUGGAAUUAAUUGUUGUUGU